rnacentral:rRNA from 1 species
CCCAGACUCCUACGGGAGGCAGCAGUGGGGAAUAUUGGGCAAUGGGCGAAAGCCUGACCCAGCGACGCCGCGUGAGGGAAGAAGGUCUUCGGAUUGUAAACCUCUUUCAGCAGGGAAGAAGAAAGUGACGGUGCCUGCAGAAGAAGUCACGGCUAACUACGUGCCAGCAGCCGCGGUAAUACGUAGGAUGCGAGCGUUAUCCGGAUUUAUUGGGUUUAAAGGGUGCGUAGGCGGCAUUAUAAGUUAGUGGUAAAAUAUUGGGGCUUCACCUCACUACGCCAUUAAUACUGUAGAGCUAGAGAACAGACGAGGUAGGCGGAAUAAGUUAAGUAGCGGUGAAAUGCAUAGAUAUAACUUAGAACACCGAUAGCGAAGGCAGCUUACCAGACUGAGUCUGACGCUGAUGCACGAGAGCAUGGGUAGCGAACAGGAUUAGAUACCCCUGUAC